rnacentral:lncRNA from 1 species
ACUCUAGUAGUUACCUACAUCAAACAUGUCUACAAGAUUUGCAGAUUCUAAUCCUUCUGGUUGUGAUGGUAUACCGGGGUUAGUAGCAGGAACAGCAGCAGCUAUUUGAUUUAACUGAGAUUCAAUAUUUUUAUUAAAUCUAAUUUGAUUCUUGAUGGCAGAAGAGAAAUUACCCAUUCUAUUAUUUAUAUUUUCUAACAUUUUAUCAUUAGAUGCCAA